CAUCCACUCUUCAUGAUCUCACACACACACAAACAUCUCCUUGUGACAUUCAGUCAUACUCUUAUUCUUCUGGAGUUUCUCUGAAAGCUACUGCACAUUUGCUCCAGACCACCUUCACAUUUCACCCACUUCAGACCAGUUUGAAAUAAACUAAGAUACAAGUAUAUUAACGUGCAGAAACCCUACAAGAGACCCUUUCAUUCUACGCUUGUGAGGGAGGCGGUCCUUGUGGAGCGCUGGUGAAUCAUUGGGAGGAGGGAGGAGGUGUGACCGCUCCGCUUCUGUAACGUGUGAAAAGUCACUUCUCCAUGAGCUUAUAAGAUCCGCGCAGCACGAGCACACAAAACUCCAGCUGCUGCAGCCUGAACCUCGCUGUCGAACAUGAACAAACGCCUUUACUGGAGCUGCUCUUGAUUUGCUCUUUUCUGAUUUGAAUGCAACACCGGAUUAUUCUAUCAUCUUUAAGGAGACAUGACUAAAUUACUAAAGGAGCGAUCUGCAGAUGAAAGACAAGAAGAGAAUGAAAGAGAAAAAUAACAAGAUACAACCUAAAGAACCAGGAGAGGAAAAGACACUGAUGUUAGUCAGAAGAAACAGCUUUCAUUACUUCAAACCAAACUUUUCUCAAGAUGUUCCAGAAAAAGUGUCCGACUCUCACACAUCAUCAUCUCCAGCAGCUGAUUCCUGAUCUUCAGAUAGAGUUCAGUUUUCUGAAGAUCAACACAAAUCUGAUCAGCUUGAUCCUGAUGAGGACACAUUUCUCUCCUGAUGGGAGUGUUGUCCUCCAGGAUGAGGACACGAGGAUCACUGAAGGGUUCAGUCUCCAGAUCUAAACUCAUUUAAACAGCUGAGAGAUUGAUGAAGACAGCGCUCUGCGUCUCCAUCAAAACACCAAACCAGGAACAUCUUUAGGAAGAAGGAACGGUGAACGAGAAUGUUCUGGAAAGUGGUUCUGUGUCUCUGGGAUGAUGAACAUCGAGGCGUCUCUCAAUUAAAGGACUGUUCACACCAAACACCAUCAUUCUCAGUAUUAAAGAACAUCAGAGUCCAUACCACAACUAUAAUGAUAAAGACACAGAGAAACAAUAUCAUUGUCACUUUAUGAACAAUUUUUUACAGCUGAUGAAAGAUAGAAAGAUUAACAGCCAAUCAGAAUCCAUCCUGCUGUGUGUUUAGAAUAAACAGACGAUAGACUGCUGUGGACGCUAAUAUCUUUAUCUUUAUAGUUAUCAUUCUUGGCAUGAAUGGGGCUAUAGAAUGAGAUUUUUAUACAGGUUCAUGUUCUUUGAAUCACUGAUUACUGUAUGGACUACUGUAGUAUGAUAUUAGAUGUAAUAUAGUGUUGUGCAGCACCAGUGUCUCAGAUUUGAUUCUCAGUGAAAACACAAAAGUCAUGAGAUAUACAGCUUUAAUGCAGUGAUUAUCAAACACCUAAACUGUACACUUUCAAUGUCUCCUCACAGUAUGAUGCAGGCAUUUAAAGCUGGGGAGUGAACUAAAUAUGAAUUAUUUAUAUAAAACUGUAUUGCAAUAAAUCUGUACUACAACAGAGAAUAAAACUGGUUCACACUUGUAAAAAUAAAAGAAGAAAAAGUA